GAGUAAGUACAAAAUCAAUAUUUUACAGUUGAAGGGAAUUAUCAACAAACCACCUAAAUGAACCACAAAAUGGACCACAUAUCAUCAAGGAAUCUACUCAACGUUGGACUCGAAUUCAUUACCAGACAUCAUACCAACAUAUUAAGCUAACUAAUGGAUUUAAAUAAGAAUGCAUCAUAAAGCAUUUAAUGCAUUAUUUAGCGUCUACUCAAUGCACAGCUGCUGUUGGCUGAAUACUGAACUGAGGUUUUGGGGAAAGUUUUUAAACUAAAAGAAUUGUAAAUGGAAAAUCCUAAAGAAAAUCUAAACAAAAACAGUUUAAAGAAACUUUUUCCUAAUGGAAGUGCAACAGCAAUAGCAGAAUAAUAAAAAAAAUAAAAAAAAUAUUGUUUUUAAAAAACAUAUUUAUAUAAAUUUUAUUAAAAAAAAGAAACGAAAACAACGAAAUGAAAAUGUUUUAAGGCAAAAGAGAAUUAUUGUUUACAAAACAACAUAAAAAAGAGAAACAAAGUUUUCACAAAAAAAGGAUAAUAACAGCAACAAUAUUAGCAUAUUUUUUAAGAAAACAGCAGUAACAGAAGCAACAAUAAGUAUAAAAAUAACAGCAGCAGCAACAAUUGCAUACAACCCCUCCAACAAUUUUUAUUUGCUUUGUUUUCCUUUUUUCUGCACACUGGGGAUAUUCUUAACUCCACCUAACUCUCUUUAAAAAGUUCUCUUGAAAAAACAACAACAAUAAAAGGAAAUAUUAAAUAACAAGGAUCGUCGUUGCAAACUAGUUCCUUAACAUUUACAGUUAAAGUUGUAAAAAAAAGUAAAAAUUCUGCUGCUGAAAUUCUGGUAUGAAGUAAUGUAAUGUAAUUUACAUACAACACACAUAAAAAAGUCUUGGAAAAAAACAUUGUAAGAGUGAAAGAGAUAGCAACAUUACAAGGAAAAGAAUAAGAAAAGCUUUAAGCAAGAAAUGAUGAUGCUGUUUAACUCUAAAAGUAGCUACAACAAGAUAUAUACUAAUUUUGUCAUCAGUGCAGUAAAAUUCGAUUAAAAUUAAAGCUGUUGAAUAAAUAGGUAA